AAGUCGAACGCGUUGGCCCAAUUGAUUGAUGGUGCUUGCACCUGAUUGAUUUUGGUCGCCAACGAGUGGCGGACGGGUGAGUAACACGUAGGUAACCUGCCCAGAAGCGGGGGACAACAUUUGGAAACAGAUGCUAAUACCGCAUAACAGCGUUGUUCGCAUGAACAACGCUUAAAAGAUGGCUUCUCGCUAUCACUUCUGGAUGGACCUGCGGUGCAUUAGCUUGUUGGUGGGGUAACGGCCUACCAAGGCGAUGAUGCAUAGCCGAGUUGAGAGACUGAUCGGCCACAAUGGGACUGAGACACGGCCCAUACUCCUACGGGAGGCAGCAGUAGGGAAUCUUCCACAAUGGGCGCAAGCCUGAUGGAGCAACACCGCGUGAGUGAAGAAGGGUUUCGGCUCGUAAAGCUCUGUUGUUAAAGAAGAACACGUAUGAGAGUAACUGUUCAUACGUUGACGGUAUUUAACCAGAAAGUCACGGCUAACUACGUGCCAGCAGCCGCGGUAAUACGUAGGUGGCAAGCGUUAUCCGGAUUUAUUGGGCGUAAAGAGAGUGCAGGCGGUUUUCUAAGUCUGAUGUGAAAGCCUUCGGCUUAACCGGAGAAGUGCAUCGGAAACUGGAUAACUUGAGUGCAGAAGAGGGUAGUGGAACUCCAUGUGUAGCGGUGGAAUGCGUAGAUAUAUGGAAGAACACCAGUGGCGAAGGCGGCUACCUGGUCUGCAACUGACGCUGAGACUCGAAAGCAUGGGUAGCGAACAGGAUUAGAUACCCUGGUAGUCCAUGCCGUAAACGAUGAGUGCUAGGUGUUGGAGGGUUUCCGCCCUUCAGUGCCGGAGCUAACGCAUUAAGCACUCCGCCUGGGGAGUACGACCGCAAGGUUGAAACUCAAAGGAAUUGACGGGGGCCCGCACAAGCGGUGGAGCAUGUGGUUUAAUUCGAAGCUACGCGAAGAACCUUACCAGGUCUUGACAUCUUGCGCCAACCCUAGAGAUAGGGCGUUUCCUUCGGGAACGCAAUGACAGGUGGUGCAUGGUCGUCGUCAGCUCGUGUCGUGAGAUGUUGGGUUAAGUCCCGCAACGAGCGCAACCCUUGUUACUAGUUGCCAGCAUUAAGUUGGGCACUCUAGUGAGACUGCCGGUGACAAACCGGAGGAAGGUGGGGACGACGUCAGAUCAUCAUGCCCCUUAUGACCUGGGCUACACACGUGCUACAAUGGACGGUACAACGAGUCGCGAACUCGCGAGGGCAAGCAAAUCUCUUAAAACCGUUCUCAGUUCGGACUGCAGGCUGCAACUCGCCUGCACGAAGUCGGAAUCGCUAGUAAUCGCGGAUCAGCAUGCCGCGGUGAAUACGUUCCCGGGCCUUGUACACACCGCCCGUCACACCAUGAGAGUUUGUAACACCCAAAGUCGGUGGGGUAACCUUUUAGGAGCCAGCCGCCUAA
rnacentral:rRNA from 2 species